UUAAGCGACUAAGCGUACACGGUGGAUGCCCUGGCAGUCAGAGGCGAUGAAGGACGUGCUAAUCUGCGAUAAGCGUCGGUAAGGUGAUAUGAACCGUUAUAACCGGCGAUUUCCGAAUGGGGAAACCCAGUGUGUUUCGACACACUAUCAUUAACUGAAUCCAUAGGUUAAUGAGGCGAACCGGGGGAACUGAAACAUCUAAGUACCCCGAGGAAAAGAAAUCAACCGAGAUUCCCCCAGUAGCGGCGAGCGAACGGGGAGCAGCCCAGAGCCUGAAUCAGUGUGUGUGUUAGUGGAAGCGUCUGGAAAGGCGCGCGAUACAGGGUGACAGCCCCGUACACAAAAAUGCACAUGCUGUGAGCUCGAUGAGUAGGGCGGGACACGUGGUAUCCUGUCUGAAUAUGGGGGGACCAUCCUCCAAGGCUAAAUACUCCUGACUGACCGAUAGUGAACCAGUACCGUGAGGGAAAGGCGAAAAGAACCCCGGCGAGGGGAGUGAAAAAGAACCUGAAACCGUGUACGUACAAGCAGUGGGAGCACGCUUAGGCGUGUGACUGCGUACCUUUUGUAUAAUGGGUCAGCGACUUAUAUUUUGUAGCAAGGUUAACCGAAUAGGGGAGCCGAAGGGAAACCGAGUCUUAACUGGGCGUUAAGUUGCAGGGUAUAGACCCGAAACCCGGUGAUCUAGCCAUGGGCAGGUUGAAGGUUGGGUAACACUAACUGGAGGACCGAACCGACUAAUGUUGAAAAAUUAGCGGAUGACUUGUGGCUGGGGGGGAAAGGCCAAUCAAACCGGGAGAUAGCUGGUUCUCCCCGAAAGCUAUUUAGGUAGCGCCUCGUGAAUUCAUCUCCGGGGGUAGAGCACUGUUUCGGCAAGGGGGUCAUCCCGACUUACCAACCCGAUGCAAACUGCGAAUACCGGAGAAUGUUAUCACGGGAGACACACGGCGGGUGCUAACGUCCGUCGUGAAGAGGGAAACAACCCAGACCGCCAGCUAAGGUCCCAAAGUCAUGGUUAAGUGGGAAACGAUGUGGGAAGGCCCAGACAGCCAGGAUGUUGGCUUAGAAGCAGCCAUCAUUUAAAGAAAGCGUAAUAGCUCACUGGUCGAGUCGGCCUGCGCGGAAGAUGUAACGGGGCUAAACCAUGCACCGAAGCUGCGGCAGCGACGCUGAUGCGUUGUUGGGUAGGGGAGCGUUCUGUAAGCCUGCGAAGGUGUGCUGUGAGGCAUGCUGGAGGUAUCAGAAGUGCGAAUGCUGACAUAAGUAACGAUAAAGCGGGUGAAAAGCCCGCUCGCCGGAAGACCAAGGGUUCCUGUCCAACGUUAAUCGGGGCAGGGUGAGUCGACCCCUAAGGCGAGGCCGAAAGGCGUAGUCGAUGGGAAACAGGUUAAUAUUCCUGUACUUGGUGUUACUGCGAAGGGGGGACGGAGAAGGCUAUGUUGGCCGGGCGACGGUUGUCCCGGUUUAAGCGUGUAGGCUGGUUUUCCAGGCAAAUCCGGAAAAUCAAGGCUGAGGCGUGAUGACGAGGCACUACGGUGCUGAAGCAACAAAUGCCCUGCUUCCAGGAAAAGCCUCUAAGCAUCAGGUAACAUCAAAUCGUACCCCAAACCGACACAGGUGGUCAGGUAGAGAAUACCAAGGCGCUUGAGAGAACUCGGGUGAAGGAACUAGGCAAAAUGGUGCCGUAACUUCGGGAGAAGGCACGCUGAUAUGUAGGUGAAGUCCCUUGCGGAUGGAGCUGAAAUCAGUCGAAGAUACCAGCUGGCUGCAACUGUUUAUUAAAAACACAGCACUGUGCAAACACGAAAGUGGACGUAUACGGUGUGACGCCUGCCCGGUGCCGGAAGGUUAAUUGAUGGGGUCAGCGCAAGCGAAGCUCUUGAUCGAAGCCCCGGUAAACGGCGGCCGUAACUAUAACGGUCCUAAGGUAGCGAAAUUCCUUGUCGGGUAAGUUCCGACCUGCACGAAUGGCGUAAUGAUGGCCAGGCUGUCUCCACCCGAGACUCAGUGAAAUUGAACUCGCUGUGAAGAUGCAGUGUACCCGCGGCAAGACGGAAAGACCCCGUGAACCUUUACUAUAGCUUGACACUGAACAUUGAGCCUUGAUGUGUAGGAUAGGUGGGAGGCUUGGAAGUGUGGACGCCAGUCUGCAUGGAGCCGACCUUGAAAUACCACCCUUUAAUGUUUGAUGUUCUAACGUUGACCCGUAAUCCGGGUUGCGGACAGUGUCUGGUGGGUAGUUUGACUGGGGCGGUCUCCUCCUAAAGAGUAACGGAGGAGCACGAAGGUUGGCUAAUCCUGGUCGGACAUCAGGAGGUUAGUGCAAUGGCAUAAGCCAGCUUGACUGCGAGCGUGACGGCGCGAGCAGGUGCGAAAGCAGGUCAUAGUGAUCCGGUGGUUCUGAAUGGAAGGGCCAUCGCUCAACGGAUAAAAGGUACUCCGGGGAUAACAGGCUGAUACCGCCCAAGAGUUCAUAUCGACGGCGGUGUUUGGCACCUCGAUGUCGGCUCAUCACAUCCUGGGGCUGAAGUAGGUCCCAAGGGUAUGGCUGUUCGCCAUUUAAAGUGGUACGCGAGCUGGGUUUAGAACGUCGUGAGACAGUUCGGUCCCUAUCUGCCGUGGGCGCUGGAGAACUGAGGGGGGCUGCUCCUAGUACGAGAGGACCGGAGUGGACGCAUCACUGGUGUUCGGGUUGUCAUGCCAAUGGCACUGCCCGGUAGCUAAAUGCGGAAGAGAUAAGUGCUGAAAGCAUCUAAGCACGAAACUUGCCCCGAGAUGAGUUCUCCCUGACCCUUUAAGGGUCCUGAAGGAACGUUGAAGACGACGACGUUGAUAGGCCGGGUGUGUAAGCGCAGCGAUGCGUUGAGCUAACCGGUACUAAUGAACCGUGAGGCUUAACCUU
rnacentral:rRNA from 1 species